GUCCACGCCGUAAACGAUGGAUGCUAGCCGUUGGUAAGCAUGCUUAUCAGUGGCGCAGCUAACGCAUUAAGCAUCCCGCCUGGGGAGUACGGCCGCAAGGUUGAAACUCAAAGGAAUUUACGGGGGCCCCGCACAAGCGGUGGAGCAUGUGGUUUAAUUCGACGCAACGCGCAGAACCUUACCAGGCCUUGACAUCCCGUGCUAAGCCCAGAGAUGGGUGGUCCCCGCAAGGGGCGCGGAGACAGGUGCUGCAUGGCUGUCGU
rnacentral:rRNA from 1 species